CAUUGACGAGCGGAUUAAGAACUUGGUCCAGUAGAUGGUGCCAGCGGGCCGCUGAAGAGCUCCCCUCGCCUUCUAUUCUGCGAGGAAGCAGCCGGGCUUGGUGGCAGCAGAGCCAAAAAGCCAAAGGUUUCAAACAAAUCUGGAGGAAAUGAGCCUCAGAACCACAGUGGCAGGAAGAUAGAGCUGUGGGCACCCAGGAAAAGCCCUCUGAAAUGGAAUAGGCUGAUUGUUUGCAGAGGAUGCACCUAAAUCAAUAUUUGAACCCUUAUUAUUCCUUCGUUCAAUUUCCAUUAAAAAUUAUUCGCCGCUCCUCUCUGAUAAAAAAUAACAAGGGGAAUUUGAAGAAGAAAAUGGAGCCGAGGCAGAGAAGGAAAAUGGUGCGGGCAAGGACCGAGAAUAUUUCCAGUCUCAGUGGGAACCGCCUCCCCAGCAGGAGCUGCAGGCCAAGGACUGCUCUUCCAGAAAGACGGUCCUGCACCCCCUGCACUCCCUCCCUCCGGGCAGAGCACAGGGAGCUCUGCCAUCCGUUCACGCAACAGAAUUCUGGAGCUGCGGAAAGGUGCCCGAGAACGGACCUCUUCAAGUCAUGCCCAGGUCUGCGGUGUAACCGGCCCCGGGCCCCAGGCUGGCUGCUCCUCCUUGGAGGCUCGCUCUCCCUCCCCCAAGCUGCUGCCUGAGUCCUGGGCCUGUCUUCCCUGCGCUCUCCCCCAGCUCUGAACACGACUGGACAAAGUCAGGUGCUCCGUGUGCUUAGCGGAUGGCAGCCUUGAAACCACCACGGGCUGCCUUCAGCAAGGUCCCCCCCCCCCCCCCCAAGAAUAGCAGGUGCCCUAAAAGGGGCUGGGAAUGGGGUAAAAGCUGUUGAUGAAACCACUCCCUCCCUAUCUGCUAUUGCUGGUGGAUUUUGAUGUCGACUAGAAUAAACAAUAGAAAAUGAAAACGCUGUUGCCUCCCAGCCCAGACAGCCCCGGCCAAGCUGGCUUCCUUCCCCACGCACGCAACGGCCGGCGGCCAAACCUUUUCCGCCUGUAAGAAACCUCAGUGCCAGCAGCGACUUGCCCACCAAGAAUUCCACUCACCGAGUCUUCCGGAGUCUGCGUGACUGUCUUACAGAGGCUGUUCUGUCCUGUGCCUGCUUUGAUAAAAUUGUUAUCACCCAGAAAAAAAGCUUUAUUCACCUACUUUAUCUCACCAUGACAGGAUUAAAAAUAAAAUCCCCAACCCCAAACCAGGCUUUCCUGACCUAACCAGGUAAACUGCCCCGCAGGCGCUGCACUGAACCCAGUGAUCCUGCGGAGAUUAACUAACUCUGCCCCCAGAAGCCUGAUCAGGCUCUGGGGCGUGGCUUUCAGAGGGAGCCUGGAGGCCGUCUGGGAUGAAGGAGACGGUUUCCAGGAGCAGAACUCCCCCCAAAGUCCCCCAAACAGCCAGUUUCUCCACCAGAGCCAGCCAGAAACCAGAGGGUAGAGGAGGAGCCGGGUGCGGUCAUGGGGCACGGGUGGCACGGGGCAGGCUUCCUGCCCCGGGUCCCUGCGGAGGCCUGGGGUUCUGGACGAGGCACCCGGCUAUCCUGGAGCCCCAGGCUCCCGGCACAGUGCUCCAUCCUUGGGGGCAUGACAAGCUGCUCUUGACUGCAGGGGUGCAUGUUCUCUCCCUGCCUCUGGGCUUCGCCCCACGCAGGCCGCAGGGAAGGGGAAAGCAGGCAUCGCCUGCAGUGAUGUCACCUCAGGGAGGCCUCUUGUGACAUUUUCAGUCCCUCCAGUCCGGCCAGGGAUCUGGGCCUGUCCAGACAUCAGCCAGAGAGGCUGCCCUGUCGUGUGCUACUUCUGAAGCCUGCUGUCCUCAGGAACUGGCCCGUUCAUAGCACCACAGCAAAGGGCCAGAGAAAGGGCUGGAGGGAGCCAGAGGCUUUGCAGGUGCACGGCUUAGCGAAAGUCACACCCUGAAAGGUGCUGCACCCUGACAGCAGUAUCCCUGCGUGGAGCUGAGAAUUUCCUCAGAGGCAAGAACCCAGACCCAGGCAUAGCCCUCAACCCCAGGGUGAAGGGUGUGAACCCCUAGUCAUCCGUGGUGCUGUGCCCGGCCAGGCCAGCAUCCUAUCUCAAGAUCUCCCAGCCGUGCUGAGACAGGAGCCACUGUCCUCUCCUUCUUCCCUUCAGUCUCAUUUGAUGGACUUUUCGUCCAAGUGUUAAGAUCUAAUCCACCUGUGGGAGGGACUGCCCGAUCUCAGGGCACAGCCGGUGAAAUCGGGGUUCUGGCAGCAGCGGAAGAGAGAAGCAUCUGGAAGUUCCAGCAGGAGGCGGAGGGAGAGAGGGUAUGAGGGUGGUGGGCACAGGGGCGCCCAGGAGACCCAGGUGGCCCAGGAGCCACACAGACACAGACCAGGGAGCACAGAGGUGCCCAGGGAGUCAGGCAGUUUGGAGGGACUUUCUUUCUUCUCCUAGAAACCUGCAAUUGCCUCCAUACUCUUAAGUGUCAUAAAGCUCUCAACUCACAAAAAACUCAGUUUGACUUCAGAGCAUGGGUUUUCCUUGCCCUUCAGGACUGGGCGUCAAGUCCAGGUGUAAAGGGAGGCUAGGCCGAGCCGCCUCCUGGAAGUGUACUCCCACAGGUGGCUUUUUGGGUGUGAACAGAACAUUCCCCAGAUGAACGUGUGGGAGCAAGGGCAGGCUGAGGAAAGGGCAGGAACGUCUCCAGCCCACCUACUAGUUCCCUGGGACCGCUGGAACGUCCCACAGACCGGGGGCUUAGAACCCCAGGACCGGGCCCUCUCACGGUUCUGCAGGUCGGGGGUUGGACGUCGCUCUGGAGGCUCCAGGGGGUCCUUUCUUGCCUCUUCUCAACUGUGCGGGGGCGGCCGGCCCGGGGCCACUCGCGGGUGCACGACUCUGAUCUGUGCCUCCGGCUUCACUCAGUCCUGCCUGGGUGUCUCUGUGUCCUCUCUCUUCUCAGAGGGACAUUGGCAGCGGCAUUAGGGUCCACCCCACUCCAGUAUGACCUCAUUUUAGCUGAUUAUAUCUGCAAAGACCCUACUUGCAAAUAAGUUCCCAUCCUGAGGGUCCAGGUGAACAUGAAUUUCGACUCAGCACACCCUGCGCUUUAUUUUCUCUACCUCAUACUCUGUGGCGUGGUUGCUUAGCCCCCGGCUUGCUUGAGGGCUAGGGCUUUUGCCUCCCUUUUCUCCAUAUCCCAAAGUGCCUGAUGCAGAACCAGACCCCAGCCAGCUCUCAGCGAACAAUCACACCCACAGUCCUCCUGAUCUGCAUUGACGUCACAACUUCUAUGUCAAUGCUGUGUAGAAAAAGCAAGAUCGGCUGCUCAUAGAUCUGUUUCAGCUGUAACAUGGAGAAGGGGAAUGGAAAUGUAAAUUUGGGCUGAUCCUGUUCCCUCCCGGCAAGCUGCAGAGUCUGCACAGUCUCCCGCAAACCCACACCUGGAUUUAUUCCUCCUCCUGCAAGAGGCUCUCCUGGUGUCCGCCCACGAUCGCAGCCUUGCCCCCAGUCCAAGUUGUGCAUGGCACAGCACACACCAGCUGCUGCACCCCUGCUGGGCCGCCCCCCGCCAUGCACACAGGGCACCUCCCCGCUGAGUGUCCUCACGAAGGCCUACCUGCACCCUCCUCCCCUAAGGGACCCCUACUCUUCAGCUUCGCUGGGUGUGUCUGACAUGCUGAUGCUCUAUCCUCAGCAGCCCUUAGCAAACUGGGUCUUCGUUUAUUCUGUUAAAUUCUCCUCCGUCCCAGCCCUGUUCCUCCGCCACUCCCUUGACUCUCUUUCUCCAGCUACAACCACGGUGGAUGGCUGGUCUGUGCCCUCCAGGCGUCACAGCUUCGCUUCUUUCUUCCUCUGCUCUCCGCUCUGCUCCUGGGCUCUCCGCUCUGCUCCUGGGCUCUCCGCUCUGCUCCUGGACUCCGUGUUUUGCAGGCGAUUAGGGGUCUCUUGGGGACCAGUUAUGCAUUUACCUGAACUCCCGAGUUUCUCCAAUGAGUAAUUUCCAUUGUCGGGACUUCUAACUUGUGUUUCAUAUCUGUCUGUUUUCCACUCAUAAAUACCAUCCGCACACGAUCACUGAUCUCUUGAAGAAUUCAAACACACAGCAUUUGCAUCCAUUUUAAACGUGUUCUACUGUUUGUGCUUCAGAGGACAUAAACUCACUUCUCAGUCGAUGUGGACUUUCUUGCUGUGAGUCUUCCGUAUUCAGGAGUUUCACUAGCAGGCCCACUUGAAUGACCGCUCUUUUAUUCUCCUUCUCCGGAAUCAUUCCUGCCUAGGACUGUCAUGGUUGCCUCUAGUGGUUGCUUCAGGAUGCCUGGUCCAGGAUCUGGUCUUAAGCUGGUGGCUCGGCGUUCCUAAACAGCAGGCAGUGGGGCUGGGACGUGUCCCCAGCAGGCGCCUCUGCAGUGGUGCUGGCUCCAGCCGCCCUCCCAGCCUGGGCGCUUUGGGCCCCAUCACCCCGCGGGAGUCUCACUCAGCAGCUUCAGCUCCUGCUCCCCUCAAACAAGAUCUUCUUGGAUUAUUAUGAAAGACCGCUCGUCACAUGUUGAGCAAUCUGCCCAGAAAAUAAAGAUUAUGUGUCUUAUCAAAAUAACCUGUACUGCACGUUGCCCUCGUCAGGUCUUUGAUCACUUAAGAAUGCUAAGUCUUUUCAAUAUGGAAAGAACUAAAGCGUUUUUCCUUCCUCCUCCUCCUCCUUCUCCGCAAACUAUGUGACUUCCUGAUUUGCCCUUGAAAUGUUUAAAUUGUCACUCUGGUUGAAUAGAAAACCAAAUAUUAUUUCACAUGAACACUGAUUUUAUUUAAUCAGGUUUUAAACCUCUGGAUAUUUUUGAAAACUUAAAGAAGUCAAAUUCUAAAUGAAAACUUUGACUAAGACCCAAUUUGGGGAUUUUUCCAGAGGGUCCCUGGACAAUUUCAAAUAUUGGGAGUGAUAUUAACUAUAAUUAACUAAAUUAUAAUUAGGUCUAUGAUAAGUUAAAUUACAUGAGAAGCACUAUCAAACAAAAGUGAUGUUUAGGGGCACCUGGGUGGCUCAGUGGGUUGGACCACUGCCUUCGGCUCAGGUCGUGAUCUCGGGGUCCUGGGAUGGAGUCCCGUGUUGGGCUCUCUGCUCGGCGGGGAGCCUGCUUCCCUCUCUCUCUCUCUCUGCCUACCU